CUUUCCUCCACCUGGAAGCUGAGCUGAGCUGAGCUGACUUUCCAGCGCCCGUCGUUUGCCUCAUCAUGAAAGUGUCUUCGCCGCCGUGACCUACCGGCCGGGCUGCGGGGAGACCCCUCCAUGCCGCUGGGACCCCAGUGGACCUCCAUUCUGGCCACACAUGAGAGUCUCCCGGGCAUGUCUGGAACCAGUGGCUUCUGUCCACUUGGGCCUGAGCCGAUUCCCCGGGGAUUUCUGUGGCUCGAGGAUGGUCACGCAGGGGAUGCCCCCUGGUCUCAGGGGCUCUCUCUGGAGCCUCUGGUCGCUGGCAGUCCUGCCUUUGAAUGCUGUCCCCACCCUUCUCCUGCCUGCUCCCUGCCCCUCCGGGAUGGGGCCACCAAAGGGGAGGGGCCCUGGCCCCAGAAAAGCCUUCCCUCAGGUCCCGCUGAGAAGACUUUAUCAAGGGACCAAGCCAGUGACAGAUCGUGCUCCACAGUUGAGAGGCUCCCACGAGGAGAGGGGGCCCGGGAGACCUAUGAGAAAAGAGGCACACUGAAACCCAAAGCGACGUCAGCAAGACAUUCCAUGUUGUAGAAGUUCUCUCAAAUUCCCUCAUGUCACCAAACGGAAUGGCAGAGCAGCCCGUCUCCCAGGCCAGACUAGGGUCCUGUCCGGCAAAAGCGCAGAAGGAGAGAUCUGGGCUGGAAGUGUUGCUCUGAAGGAGGCGAAGCUUGGGACCCGACUCCAGGGCCCAACAGCUCAGCAGCUCAGUCAAAGGCUCUGCGAUCUGGGAUCCCAACGCAGCAGCGUCACAAAUCACGAGCCCCUCUCCCCCGCCUUGCACUUGAGCCAGCAGUGAGACCCCCCCUUCUAGGGGACUGUGGGAGAUGUGACCUUGGCCUUGGUCCUUGAGCACCGGCCCUGCAGAAGCAGCUUUGGAACGUUGGGCCCCGUGGACCCCCAGAGGAUUCCCAUAUACUCUCCUAUCCUAUCCCCGUGUGCUCUGCCUUCAGUCUCUUCCUGAAGGCGCUUGGGAGAUGCAGGCGAGCUGCAUGAGUGCUGGACGGAUGCGAGCAUGGAAACCGAUAAGAAAACCAGGUGUAGGGGCGCCUGGGUGUCCCAGUGGGUUGAAGCCUCUGCCUUGGGCUCAGGUCAUGAUACCAGGGUCCAGGGAUGGAGCCCCUGCAUCCGGCUCUCUGCUCAGCGGGGAGCCUGCCUCCCCCUCUCUCUGCCUGCUUCUCUGCCUACUUGUGAUCUCUGUCUGUCAAAUAAAUAAAUAAAAUCUUUUUUUAAAAAUUCUAAAAAGAAAACCAGGUGUAGAAAUUGUCUUCCACGGAGCAUUGCCGGCAGCUUGGGCCAGUGCGAAAGCGCAGACUGAGAACCCGCGGAACCCCGGCCCAGUGCCCUGCUGGCUGUCCCCGAUCGGAGGCCAAGCCUGGCAGCUCUCCGCCCCGAGGCCCUGGAGGUCGGUCCCAGGGAGCUCCAGC
rnacentral:lncRNA from 1 species